UGUGCGUGUGUGCCAUGGCACAUAUGGAGGUCAAAAGACAACUUUCAGAAGUUUGUUCUCUCCUUUCAUUAAGUGUGUCCUCGACAUUAAACUCAGGUCAUCAGGUUCCUGUGAUGAGUCCUUUUACUAGCUGAGAUGUCUCCAGGGCUCAGAAAUUAUCCACUUUUAGAGGGUUCUUGGCAUUUAUGUGAUUAUAUAUUAGUUUAAAUGCUUAGCUAACUUCCUUGUACGUCCUAGACCACCUAGCCAAGGAAUAGGGCUGCCCGCAGUGAGAGGAGCUGGAUCCUCUUAUGCCAACCAACUAUGGAGACAGUACUCCACAGACAGACUCAAGCUAAUGUGAUCAACAGAAUCCCCACAGACAGGCCAAUGUGAUCAGUGGAAUUCCUCAACUGAAGCUCUCGUCUCUGGUGAUGUCUAGAUUGUGUCAAGUUGGCAGUUAAAGCUAACUAGGACAAGAUCCUUCCAUCUGCUACAGACCAGAUACAUUCAUUGAGUAACCAGGUAGCAGUGACAUGUGCUGACCAAUUUAGAGACACCGCCAAAGAUUAUUGCUUUCUGGGAAGGAAGCUCUUUUGCUGAGGGGGUAGAGCAUGCUUCUUGGGGACAAGCUUGCUUCUACCUUGGACUUAAAUAUUCGGAUUUCACAGAGAAAGUGGAGGGAGAGGAAGUGAGAGGCAUGCCUGGCAGGAGGAAAAGGGUGAACAAAGACUGGCAAGAGGAGACUCACAGAUCAAACCACACCAUUAGUGAGAAUGGUUACGCAGCACCCCACAGAGUUUGGAUUUUUGAUUUGAGAGAAUAUUUAAAGUAUGGUGGUACCUAAAAAUUAAAAGUAAACAGAGAAAUGGCUCAGAGGAUAAAGGGACUUCCUGCUAAACCUCACAACCGAAGUUCUGUCAGUGGGCCACACGAGGUGGAAGAAGAGACCUAACUCCUGAAAGCUGUCCUCUGACUGCCACACAAGCCUUGUGGCAUCUGCAUCCCCCCAUCUAAAAUACAUACAUAAAUACAUAUAAUAAAUUUAAAUCAAUGAUUUAAAAAUAUAUCGUCUCGAUGGCCUAGCUCUACCAUUCCUGAGUCCCGAAGGGCUCUGUGUCCUACUACUGGGAUGCGUGCUCCUUGCAAUAAACGUCCAUGUUUGUUGUGGCGUUGUUCACAGUCAUGAAUAAUGGAACCAGACUUGAUGACUGUAUUGGCUACUUUUCUUAUGCUGUGACAAAAUAUCAUGACCAAAGGCAACUUAAGGAGUAGUCUUAUUUUACGUUAUGGUUCUCUGGGGGCGAGAUGUCCACAAUGGCAGGGAAGGCAGGGUGCUUAGGUUGAUAAUCUGGAAAUCACAUCUCAGCAGUACACUGGAAGCGGAGAGAGGAAACUGGAACUUCGGCAAAGUUAUAAACCCCCAACACCCACCUCCAGUGAAGCACUUCGUCCAUCAAGGCUGCACCUACUGAAGAUCCUACAACUUCCCGAACAGCAUCACCAACUGGGGACCAAGGGUUCAACUACCUGAGCCUGUGAAGGACAUUUCAUGCUCAAACCACUACAGUGUCUGCCAACAGAAACGCAAUGGCCUCUUAUUCAAUUGUGAAGAAAAGUGAAAUUUUCGAGAAAAUACAUGGCUCUGGAAAGUAUUAUAUGAAGUGAGAUGACCCAGGCUAAGAAAAACAAUCAUGGCAUGUUCUCUCUCAUGCAUGGAGCCUAGCUUUCAGUAUUUAUAUUUAUGAAUGUGAGAAGGUGACUGUAGGCUCAGAGACUGGACAGAAGAUCACAAGAGGAAGGGAAAGAGGUGCUGAGAAAGAGAGAUGAGGGAACGACUGAAGAGGCGUUGCUGAGAGUGUGAGGAUGUGAGGGGUACAGGGCCACUGGAGAAACAACGGGAAAAGAGACAGAAACAGAUUAUAUUGAAUAUACCAUAUACUUUGGGUGCUUUUUGCUUUAUUUUAAGAUUGUGUGUGUGUGUGUGUGUGUGUGUGUGUGUGUGUGUGUGUGUGUGUGAAUAUAGGUAUGUAGGUGCCUGCAGAAGCCAGAAGAGGGUGUUGGAUCCUCCAGAGUUAGUGUAAUAGGCAUCUAUGAGCCACCAGACACAGUCCAGGGAACUGAACUCUGGGCUUGUGCAACAGUGGCAAAUGCUCUUAAUCACUGAGCCUCUCUCCAGCCCUAAAGGCUAAUACUUCGUAUACUAAUAAAAAUUAAUAAAAAGGGAAAGAAAGAAAAUGUACGCGGACCACAUCAGCCACAUUUAUGGGGCCUUUCAUCUCUCCAGACCUCCCCUGUCUCUGGUGGUGAUCUUUCGUGCUUUAUUAAAAAGCAUUCAUUGCUUGGUAUCAUUGCUCUUGUGUGCUCUUCCAGAUGAUCCUUAAUAUUAUUUUAUCAGGCUGGUUUUCCGUUUCAUCGCUCGCAGACAUUAACUACUUGAAGAAGCUGCUUCUGAGCUGUGCUUCUGCCUCAGGCCCAGGUCUCUCAGGCCUCCGGAUCUCGGAUCUCCGAGGAGGGGAAACUGGGAUGAAGGGCAGGGGAGGACACAGACAUAGUCCUGUGGAGUGGCUCUGUUUGGAGGUGUGGCCUUGUUGGAGGAAGUGUGUCUGUGGGCAUGGGCUUUAAGACCCUUGUCCUAGCUGCCUGGAAGCCAGUCUUCUGCUUGCCUUCAGUUGGAGAUGUAGAACUCUCAGCUCCUCCUCCAACACCAUGCCUGCCUGGAUGCUGCCAUGUUCCUACCUUGAUGAUCAUGGACUGAGCCUCUGAACCUGUAAGCCAGCCCCAAUUAAAUGUUGUCCUUUAUAGA